CGUGAGUGAUGAAGGUUUUCGGAUCGUAAAGCUCUGUUGUUAGGGAAGAACAAGUGCGAGAGUAACUGCUCGCACCUUGACGGUACCUAACCAGAAAGCCACGGCUAACUACGUGCCAGCAGCCGCGGUAAUACGUAGGUGGCAAGCGUUGUCCGGAAUUAUUGGGCGUAAAGGGCUCGCAGGCGGUUUCUUAAGUCUGAUGUGAAAGCCCCCGGCUCAACCGGGGAGGGUCAUUGGAAACUGGGAAACUUGAGUGCAGAAGAGGAGAGUGGAAUUCCACGUGUAGCGGUGAAAUGCGUAGAGAUGUGGAGGAACACCAGUGGCGAAGGCGACUCUCUGGUCUGUAACUGACGCUGAGGAGCGAAAGCGUGGGGAGCGAACAGGAUUAGAUACCCUGGUAGUCCACGCCGUAAACGAUGAGUGCUAAGUGUUAGGGGGUUUCCGCCCCUUAGUGCUGCAGCUAACGCAUUAAGCACUCCGCCUGGGGAGUACGGUCGCAAGACUGAAACUCAAAGGAAUUGACGGGGGCCCGCACAAGCGGUGGAGCAUGUGGUUUAAUUCGAAGCAACGCGAAGAACCUUACCAGGUCUUGACAUCCUCUGACAACCCUAGAGAUAGGGCUUUCCCUUCGGGGACAGAGUGACAGGUGGUGCAUGGUUGUCGUCAGCUCGUGUCGUGAGAUGUUGGGUUAAGUCCCGCAACGAGCGCAACCCUUGAUCUUAGUUGCCAGCAUUCAGUUGGGCACUCUAAGGUGACUGCCGGUGACAAACCGGAGGAAGGUGGGGAUGACGUCAAAUCAUCAUGCCCCUUAUGACCUGGGCUACACACGUGCUACAAUGGACAGAACAAAGGGCUGCAAGACCGCAAGGUUUAGCCAAUCCCAUAAAUCUGUUCUCAGUUCGGAUCGCAGUCUGCAACUCGACUGCGUGAAGCUGGAAUCGCUAGUAAUCGCGGAUCAGCAUGCCGCGGUGAAUACGUUCCCGGGCCUUGUACACACCGCCCGUCACACCACGAGAGUUUGCAACACCCGAAGUCGGUGAGGUAACCUUUAUGGAGCCAGCCGCCGAAGGUGGCAGG
rnacentral:rRNA from 1 species